rnacentral:rRNA from 1 species
AGUGAACGCUGGCGGUAGGCCUAACACAUGCAAGUCGAACGGAAGCACAGUAAGAGUUUGCUCUUACGGGUGGCGAGUGGCGGACGGGUGAGGAAUACAUCGGAAUCUACUUUUUCGUGGGGGAUAACGUAGGGAAACUUACGCUAAUAUCGCAUAUGAUCUACGGGUGAAAGCAGGGGAUAUUCGCACCUUGCGCGAUUGAAUGAGCCGAUGUCGGAUUAGCUAGUUGGGGGGGUAAAGGCCCACCAAGGCGAGGAUGCGUAGCUGGUCUGAGAGGAUGAUCGGCCACACUGGAACUGAGACACGGUCCAGACUCCUACGGGAGGCAGCAGUGGGGAAUAUUGGACAAUGGGCGCAAGCCUGAUCCAGCCAUACCGCGUGGGUGAAGAAGGCCUUCGGGUUGUAAAGCCCUUUUGUUGGGAAAGAAAAGCAGCAGGUUAAUACCCCGCUGUUCUGACGGUACCCAAAGAAUAAGCACCGGCUAACUACGUG